UCCUGUGUUUACUUCUCUCCUUAAAUCUUUUGAAACUUUAUCGUUGAAUAUCUUGUCAAAACACGAAGUCUCAGGUAGUUUAACACAUAAACCGGGAAGACUGCGACGAAGUUGAAGAUUCUACCGUUUUAUUUUUUUCCUUUUCAUCGACUAAGUGGUAGAAAUUCUAAUUUUUCGUACUGUUUUGUCGUUCAUUGCGCGUGGUGUUUAUUAUUUGGAAUUUCAAAACGGACAAGUUUUGGAGUGGGCAUCGUGUUUUCAAGGCAAACUGAGUUUUGGAGUCCAUCGUUGUUCGUUUGAAAGUUAUUCACAUUUUUUUGACGCGCGCUCAAGAUACCAUGGAGGAGUGAAAUAUAUCGACUGAUGAAAUGUACUCAGAGCAGCUCGAAAGUACAGCAAGCGCACAAUGAACGAGGCAACGGCAUAACAUGUUCAGACAUGUGGGAUGUGGAAAGAUGAGUAGUUGGAGGCUGGAAGACAUUUGGAAGAUUUUGUAGACACAACUGGCAUUCUCUUGGUAGAUCAUAAAUUGGUAGCUCCUCCCCAUAGUUCCACACCUUUAGUGCCACUAGCUGCAUGAGUCUUGGAACUUGUCCGUCAGGUGUACAGGUAACUCCCUCAAUUACUGUUGGGUUGAAUGACCUCUGUCCCUCCAGUGCAGAUGUUCCCUUGGCAGAAGCCUUCCAUUGAAGUUUAAGUUUGUGACCAUCUGCUUUUAGUGACUGAAUUGUUUCUGAUCUGACUGGAAUUUCAAGAAGCUUUAAAACUGAAUACCAGAAAGGACUUUGGUAUCUCUGAUCAGCUCCCAUUCCAAACAACUUGGGAAAAGUUAACCACUCUGCUCCAUGAUCUUUGAUUACUUUGAUUGCUUCUUGUAACAUUGGCCUCUGCACUUGUUUGUGAAAGUGGUUGAUAGCUGCUGGGUCCUUCAAUGACAUCUUCACCUGUUGUGAUGUUAAAGGAAAAUAUUCUGCAGGAGACAUCAACAUUUUACUUAAAGUUUCAUGGUGCUUCAGAACAGUUGCUGGCCAUAACCUUGCUAGGUAACCACUGGAGAAUCCAAGUUCUGCAUCACUAGCUUGGGAUGUAUUCAGAGAUGGGAUGAUAAACUUAUCGAGGAAUUCAAACAAAGACUUGAUUUCAACUUGAAUCAUAAGACUGGAGCUCAGCUUAAUGACAUCUUGCCAAAUAGUCUGGUGGCAAUCUGAUUUUGGCAAUCUUUCAAGGAGACACUCAGCAAGCUGUAAACAAGCUUUUCCAUACUUAAGAUACCACUGGAGAGUUUCAUGAUAAUAUGUCCACCUUGUGUCUAUGAAUGUCUGGGGAAGGGGUGGCUCUUUACUUAGAAUACCAAGAGAAACAUACAUAACUUUGUAUUGGCUUGGACGCUCAUGAUGGAGCCAAGAUAUUUUAUAGAGUAAUUGUAAAACAUGGGGGUUGCUCAUGUCACCCUUGGCCCCAAACCCAGCCUGGCACAUUCUUCUCAGCAUAAUGUUUAGUACAUGUGGGUAGCAUCCUACAAAAAACAUCUCUUUUCCAAAAAUUCUGGCAUUGUUAGCUAAAAGACCAUUUACUUUUCCCUUUUGGGUAGAGGCAUCGUCCCCAACCAACCCUGAAACAUUGGUAAUAUCAUAUUCAUUUUUUACAACAUGGUAAUCUACAUCAGACUGGUGUUUUCCAGACCCGCUUGCUGUUAGGCUGUUUGCAAGGACAUAAGCUCGUGGCUUGCUCUCUAAGGGACACCAGGUGUGAACACCCACUACGUGCCUCUCCUCUCCUCCUUUGUGGGAGUCAUCACUCCAGAGAUGAAAAUCAUACUUGGAAUUUGAAAAGCGCUUGCGUAAAAUUAGUUUGUCAGCUUCACCCAAAAGAACAUUCCAGUCAGAAAGUGUAGUUGGAGAGACAAUGAAGUUUGUUGGGGGGCUACAAUUGAACAAAAUAUUGAAAAUCAGAUGUAAUGCUACAGGUGUCUUUUGAUAUGAUAACAAAGAUGCAUGUUGCAUGUAUCUGACACAAGCCAUAAACAUCAAGGUCCUUUGGUUGUGUCCAUUGUGACCAUGAGCAAAUGUUGCCCUGUAAUUUCUGUUUUAGCUUUGAAGAAGCAGAUCUUGUCCCCCUUAGCUUGUGUCUGACUUGUUUUUCCUUUUUUUCAGUAGACGUCAGAUUUUUUUGACACUUUUUAAGUUGAGUUUGAAGCCUCAACACGUCCUCUUUCAAUUGGAUGUUCCUUCCUUUUACAAAUACUGAAAUUAUGAAAAGGUGACACAAUAAAAAUUAGUUAA